UACGGAGGGUGCGAGCGUUGUCCGGAAUCACUGGGCGUAAAGCGCACGUAGGCGGCUUUGUAAGUUAGAGGUGAAAGCCCAGGGCUCAACCCUGGAAUUGCCUUUAAGACUGCAUCGCUUGAACAUCGGAGAGGUAAGUGGAAUUCCGAGUGUAGAGGUGAAAUUCGUAGAUAUUCGGAAGAACACCAGUGGCGAAGGCGACUUACUGGACGAUUGUUGACGCUGAGGUGCGAAAGCGUGGGGAGCAAACAGG
rnacentral:rRNA from 1 species